rnacentral:rRNA from 1 species
GAUGAACGCUGACAGAAUGCUUAACACAUGCAAGUCAACUUGAACUUCGGUUUGGGUGGCGGACGGGUGAGUAACGCGUAAAGAACUUGCCUCACAGCUAGGGACAACAUUUGGAAACGAAUGCUAAUACCUGAUAUUAUGAUUAUAUGGCAUCGUAUAAUUAUGAAAGCUAUAUGCGCUGUGAGAGAGCUUUGCGUCCCAUUAGCUAGUUGGAGAGGUAACAGCUCACCAAGGCGAUGAUGGGUAGCCGGCCUGAGAGGGUGAUCGGCCACAAGGGGACUGAGACACGGCCCUUACUCCUACGGGAGGCAGCAGUGGGGAAUAUUGGACAAUGGACCGAGAGUCUGAUCCAGCAAUUCUGUGUGCACGAUGAAGUUUUUCGGAAUGUAAAGUGCUUUCAGUUGGGAAGAAAAAAAUGACGGUACCAACAGAAGAAGUGACGGCUAAAUAUGUG